UUGUAUAAAUUAGAUCAUGCCCAUCUUUAUCACAAACCAUAAUACGAUAAAUAGUUUUAUAUUGAAAACUUGAAAAUCACUACAACAAAUUAGGGAUAUAAUUUCUUUUAUUUAGCACUUCUACAAAAUGCUAUUAAAAAAAGGCUGAAGAUAAAAGAAAAUUGGCGGACAUAUUAGCGCAAAUUUAAAAUUUUGUUGAAAAGAAAAAGUUCCUUCAUUUUCGCACACUUCCAUCUCCUUUUUCUUUUUCAUUUUUCCUGUGUCCCUUAAUCCAGACCUUUAGCUCUCACUUGCAUUUUGCAAAGCCCCAAUUUCCGUUUCUUUUCUCUCUUAUUUUCGUCUCCUUCGAAUUUGUUUUCUUCAAUGUCUGAUAUACAAUUUAUUCCUCUCCUGAUAUUCUCCUUCCAUGGUGAGACGAGUAACAUCGUAAUGGACAAUCGAUGACAUAGACUAUGUUCUUUUCAAAGAAACCCACACAACGACAGAGACAAGCACCAGCAAACAACAACAAUGUUUAGUUUGACGAGCUAUAGCAACAUACCCCAUGAGAAGAUAUGCAACAAAUAUCCCUUGAAUCGCAGGGUUAAUGUGCUUCUUAACUGAUUAAUAACUUUCAACCACAACCCACUGCUCAGAAAACCUCAAGUCAAAUUACCCAUUGCUAGUAGAGGUCAAAAACGCUUUUGGAGUUCAAGAACUUAUUUUAACAGGGGUUGGUGCAGGGUUGUUUGGCAUAUCUCCCAACUUUGAAGGAGCUUGUGGUGUCGAUCUAAUAGUCUAUAAAAGUUAUGGUGUUUUCGCACGAUUGAGAUGGAUUUUUUAGCAGGGUUUUUUUUUUUCUCGUCUUUUGUUGAGCUUAACGUUGAAGUGCUUGAAAUGGCCAAUGAAGUAUUGCCUGUAAGUUCCAUAUAAUUAUUAAUUCACAAAAUUAACUCAAAGAAUUUAUAUCUACAAAUUUCAUAUCAACAACUUGCAAGCAUUGUUUCAAUGUUAAAUGAAUAAAUUGUUUAACUAUAAUUCCAUUGUGUAUGAAAUUGGAAGGAAUAUUAUGUUGCUAAGUGAGAACAAUGUAUUGAUAAAGUUAGGUAGCUUCAAAAUAAUUAAAACGACUCAAUAUGAUUUCUUUUAUUUAUAUCGACCAUUAUUUAGUUUAACUAAAGGAACUUGAAUGUGUGAUUCUAUACUCCUUUGACAUCUCAUACUUCAUUUUUAUCAAUAAUGUUAGAGUUUGUACAUUAAUUUUUUUUAUUAAUACACUAGUACCUUUCUUUGGGAGUUCUAGCAUCUUAAACGUAUACUUUGAACUUGUGUGGGAUUUUGGUUUAUAUAUCUUGUUUAGUUAAUUGAUUUUGACCGUCGGGUGGUUUCUUAUUUAACAAUAUGUCACCAAGAUAUGAUUUUAGAUGGUCAUGGUGUUGAGUUCUUUUUGUUUUUUCAUUUCUUGUAUUCAUAAUGUAUUCUCAAUUCUAUAUAAAUUUAUUAGAACAUACGACAGUUAUUUUUGUAUUAAAUUGUACUCCAACAUUUCUGCUCACAUAUCUCAUUGCUUGUAUGUGAAGGAGAGAGAUCAUGUUAUUAUAGGCCGACAUAAGCCAUUGUCGAAGACAAUGAGGUUGAAUGUGUUGAAGGAAAUUCCCGUUGGAUCCUCAAAUUGUGAGGGAAAGCCGUUUACCAUAAUUUAAAUGGUGUUUUGUCUUGUGAAUGAAAAAAUAUGCUUUGAAGGUGAACAUUCACUAUGAUGGAUUGCACAAGGUGAAGAAAAUUGAUGGUGGUUUCACUACCGAAGUAGAUGCAAGACGGGAUGGUUUGUCGGAGACUCAGAGGUUUAGAACCAAUAUGGAUACUUUUAGUUUCUAGGUUUUCACUAUGGAAGGCGAGAACCAUGAGAAAGAUCUGGUGGAGGUUUAGACAGAGAUUAGCAGAAGCGAGUUGACAGAUCUGAAGCAGAGGCGUGCGGUGGCUAGUCCUUCUUUGAGGUUAUUGAAAGACUAUCAAUGCAUGCAAUAUCCGGACAACAAACAUGAUUAAGUUGGAGUUAACUGAAUUUUUUAUAUCAACAUUUUGUAAUUUAUAAAGUUUAUGUUUGUGCAUCUUCAAAUGCAUGAUAUUGAUAUAUAUAUAUAUAUAUAUUUGAUAAUAUGAAUUGGUAUGAAUGCUUGCCAUGUAUAAAACACAAUAAUAGCAGUAAGAACAUAAUUGAAAAGCUACAAAUUUUUUUUCAUGAAAAGGCUAUAUAAUAUUUAUAAAAGUUAUGGAAAGAAUUUUUUUUUUGAACAUUCGAAGGCUUAUUAUAAUUUUCAUUAAACAAAUAGUUAUAGCUGCAAAUAAAUGUUAUAAUAGACAAAAAUUCUAUAUUACAUUUUAUAAAGAUCAAAUAUGGUGUGCAAAAUGCUAUAAAAAGUCAAGUAUUUCAUAGCGUGUUACUAAAUGCUAUAAAAAGCCUUGUACUUUUAAUAGGUUGAACUAUCAUGACUUUGUAGAAAAUGCUAUAAAAGACUUAUUAUAUUCUUUUUUUCGAAACUGUCUAAGGCCUUUUUUCUUGUAGUAAAUAACCACUCACAAUUAGGAGCGUGAAUUAUUUGAGUUAUAGAUGGCUCCAACUUUCGCUUGUCUUGGAAAAUAAUUUAAUCAACUAUAUCAACACUACUUAACAUUCAAAUCAUCCUACUCCAAUCAACCUAAUUUCUCCCUAAUUAAGCCCAUAUUUUAGGACAUUGGAGACCCAAUCCGAGCAAGGAACUAUCUAAGAUAUUGAGGAUGAGAAGGAUUGUGAAAUUUGAGCUUGGAGCGAGAUACAAAGGAAGAAAUGAGAAAUCAGCCACUAAAAACGUGAAAAACAGCAGCAAAAUUAACUCAGCAGAAUUUUAAACUAGUUACAUCAUUUUCCCAAAUUUUGAAUAAAUUACAGCCUAACCAAGUUCAGUUUCUUCGAUUUAAAUGUGUAGAGUCAAAGUUUAACUCACCAAGAGCGGUUCCCAAGUUUAAACUUCCCCAAAUUAAUCAAUUUCCUCCUUCAAAAAUCAAAAUUCUGCUGCUGUCUUCAACAUUUUCUGCAAGCUUCAUGUGGUUCAUGUUAUUGCUGUAAUUUGAAUUACUUUCAGGCUAUCACUGCCACUAUGACUGUUUUGCAAGUUCCUUUUCUAAAUACUUCAGGUGCGAACUUUCCACUUCCACCUUUACCUGAACGAUCAGGAGGUGGGCAUCCUCAUCUGUUCCAAUUUGCCCCUUCUACUCCAAAAUUCUCUUCACAAGACUUUAAGUAUUUUCUCCUUUUUUAGUACUUAUUCUUUUAUCUAAGCUUUAUACAGGUUCUUCUUCAUACGAUAAAUUUUCCUUAACAAUAAUAUGUCUGAAUACUUCCUAGAUGAAUUGUACUUCUUGGGCUAUGAACGUUACUUGAAUCCCCUCUUCUCCAACUAACUUACUAAUAACACUCAAAAGGUUAUACUUUUUUCUAUUUCCCUUAACCAUUUCAAGGUCAUAAUAUCCUUUUGCAAUUCAUGUUCAGCUCUUUCUGAUUAAAGAUAACUUCGUCUCUUGUGAUCUAUGUCUAUACAACAUUUUCUCUAUUGCUUGGAAACAUAAAUAAUCACUUACCCUUCCUAUAUUCAGACCUAAUUUCAUCUUUA